GUAUUGUAGUGGUGCGAUCUUUCCUGAAGUAGUCACACCCUAACUCGGUGGCGGUGCAAAGGAAUCUGCCCCUCCGGGCUUCGUCGGUUCGUCCCUGCUGGCCCUCGGCGCCUUGCGCCUGCCCAUCUUACCCUUAGCAUCGUAACCCAGACAAAUCUCUGCACUCACGUCAGAAAGCGAUUCUUGGACUCCUCGUUGGGUUUGCCAUGGAGGAAGCACUUCCAGGAUUCAUCCCCGAGGUCUUUAAUUCUCCUGAUGGCGCUGAGUGAGGAAGGGUCCUGCAGGGGUUUCUCCGUUUCGGAGAGGCCGCAGGUAUGCUCGGCCCAGAGGCGCUUGCGGAACAUGGCCACCUCACCGUCACUCACCGCCACGCCCUCACUGUUGUUAUUGUUGAGCACAAUCUGGAGGAAGACAAGAGGUGAUGGCUAUAGAUAGAUAGAUAGAUAGACAUAUAGAUGAAGUGAUCGUUAUGUCUUGCAAGGCCCAUAUUCAGAAACGUUUUAGCCUACUCUCUCACCGCGACGGUUUUCAAAGGCCACAGAGAUGACUAGCCAGGCUCUAAAGACUUUCUCCUUUAAAUAAUAUAAAAAUCUUGUCAAUCUGUCACUACCGUAAAAACACCCUUAAAAACCCGUGUAACUUCAAAGUGAACCACUUGAAAGUAGUAGAGAUAAAAGCGCGAAAGUCAGAAUAAUUAUGGUUAUUGAUGCCAUGGAAACAACACCAUAUGUAUUUUUCUUUACCUUCCCCUCCUCCUCCCCUCCUCUUUCUCUUCGAUUAUUUUCCCUUUUUCCUUCCUAUCAAAAUCCUGACAAGAUUCAUGAGAACCAGAAAUAAAUAUCGCCGAGGCAAACAGGCGCCUAGCAAGUGUGACGUGUCCGCUUGUGAGGAAAACGGAAUAGAGCGGCGCCCCAGAUCACGCUGUCCAGUGGUCAGCGGAGUAGUGUUGAUCAAAUCUUCCGUGUUACUUUCAUUUGCUGACUUCUAAGGCCGCUUGAAUGUUUAGCCAGGUGCUCAAGAAUGUUUCUCAUGCUAAUAAUGUAAGUGUUUUGUUAAUCAGUCGUCGCAACUGUAAAAAACACUCUAAGAAACUCGUGUAAUUUCUAGAUCCUUUCGAAAGUAAUGAAGGUGCGGGCAGAAGUAUUUCAGAAUAUGGUCCUUAAAAUGACUUACGUAUAUGCUGUGGAUGUAUGAGUGACCACAGCCAAUUUUCCUUUAUUUAUGUACCCAUAUGUACUAUGUAUUUCUCACUCAUGUAUCAUCAUUGUUAUUGUAAGGCGGCACCCAUCAAUUUUGCAUUGUCACAUAGUACUAGCUGGCAACAGCGCCCAGAGGCAUCAGUAGCCGAUCUCUUAUUACACUAGCCUUGCUUUUUUGGUGUCUCUUAUGCUUCCUCCAGCUCUCCUUCAAUAUAUUUCCGGCCUAUA